UCUGAGAAGCAAACCGACUAUCUUGAAAAGGUACAGAUGAUGUUGAAAGAUCAUCUCCCAUGCAAGAAUCUGCUGCCAAAA